UAUGGCAAAACACGGAGAAUCCAAGGAUGAAUCAACGCCAGAGAAGAUCAUCAAUGCGACUCUUCUUCUUCUACUUCUGAUUCUGAAUUCGUGAGCUUUCAAACCUCUACUCACAGACGGCACACAAAUCCAACGUUUUUCUCAAAGCGUGGGUUUGUUCUGGCGGGUAAAGGAAGCAUUUCUCAACUGGAAUGUAUAGUUUGCCUUUGAAGAAAUUACAUGAAUUCUCAUGGAUCCUCAUAAAUCUGG